CGUAGGUGAACCUGCGGAGGGAUCAUUACCGAGUUUACAACUCCCAAACCCCUGUGAACAUACCAAUUGUUGCCUCGGCGGAUCAGCCCGCUCCCGGUAAAACGGGACGGCCCGCCAGAGGACCCCUAAACUCUGUUUCUAUAUGUAACUUCUGAGUAAAACCAUAAAUAAAUCAAAACUUUCAACAACGGAUCUCUUGGUUCUGGCAUCGAUGAAGAACGCAGCAAAAUGCGAUAAGUAAUGUGAAUUGCAGAAUUCAGUGAAUCAUCGAAUCUUUGAACGCACAUUGCGCCCGCCAGUAUUCUGGCGGGCAUGCCUGUUCGAGCGUCAUUUCAACCCUCAAGCCCUCGGGUUUGGUGUUGGGGAUCGGCGAGCCCUUGCGGCAAGCCGGCCCCGAAAUCUAGUGGCGGUCUCGCUGCAGCUUCCAUUGCGUAGUAGUAAAACCCUCGCAACUGGUACGCGGCGCGGCCAAGCCGUUAAACCCCCAACUUCUGAAUGUUGACCUCGGAUCAGGUAGGAAUACCCCGCU
rnacentral:rRNA from 1 species